AUUGAACGCUGGCGGCAGGCCUAACACAUGCAAGUCGAACGAGUGGCGGACGGGUGAGUAAUGUCUGGGAAACUGCCUGCUGGAGGGGGAUAACUACUGGAAACGGUAGCUAAUACCGCAUACUAUCAGAUGAGCCCAGAUGGGAUUGGCUAGUUGGUGGGGUAACGGCGCACAAAGGCGACGAUCCCUAGCUGGUCUGAGAGGAUGACCAGCGACACGGGAACUAGUACAAGGUCCAGACUCCUACGAGAGGCAGCAGUGGGGAAUAUUGCACAAUGGGCGCAAUCCUGAUGCAGCCAUGCCGCGUGUAUGAAGAAGGCGUUCGGGUUGUAAAGUACUUUCAGCGGGGCGGCGUUACCCGCAGAAGAAGCACCGGCUAACGCCGUGCCAGCAGCCGCGGUAAUUC
rnacentral:rRNA from 1 species